rnacentral:rRNA from 1 species
CGGGGUGAGUAAUGUCUGGGAAACUGCCUGAUGGAGGGGGAUAACUGCUGGGAACGGUAGCUAAUACCGCAUAACGUCGCAAGACCAAAGAGGGGGACCUUCGGGCCUCUUGCCAUCGGAUGUGCCCAGAUGGGAUUAGCUAGUAGGUGGGGUAACGGCUCACCUAGGCGACGAUCCCUAGCUGGUCUGAGAGGAUGACCAGCCACACUGGAACUGAGACACGGUCCAG